AACAGUUGAGGGGAAUGUUGUCUGGUUCGAGAUCCUUCGUAUGAAGCUCAAGCAGCGUUUGAAUGAUUUCGGACCAGGCUUCAUUCCCCUCAACCCAAAA
rnacentral:pre_miRNA from 1 species